GUGUUUGUUUUAGUAGUCUCCGAAAAACUGUGUUGAGCAGUAGUGAAGAAACAGCCACUGACAGGAUUGCAUUUUUCUUUGCCUUGGAGAUAUUCAUCCCUAUUUCAAAGUACUCUCAUACUUAAAGGGACUUUUUGGGGCCACUUUCAACAAGGUGCUCAUAUCUUCCUACCCAAGACAAACCAUGCUAGUCACCGUGGCAGCCCCACUUUGCUUCCCUCCAGAUCCUGCUCUCUUCCUCCUGACCUGUCUCCUGUGGGUGUUCCCAGCUCAGAGCCAUGCUGGCAACAUCCUGGUGUACCCUGUGGACGGCAGCCAUUGGCUCAACAUGGACAUCCUCCUGCGAGAGCUGCACCAGCGGGGGCACUCUUUAAUGGUGGUCCGCUCGUCCACCAGCUGGUACGUCCCUGAACACGCUCCCCACUACUCCUCCGUCACAGUGCCGGUGCCCAGGGCCAGCAGACUGGAGGACCCACAGUACAUGGCAUACUUCCUGAAGAGGAGCCUGGAGAUAUGGACACGAGAGCGCUCCGUUUUAUCCUUUAUUGAGCUACAGAAAGAGACUAUUAAUUUGCUGGAGGAGGCCCAUCGCAGCAGUGCUGAAAUGGCCCUCUUAGCCAUGGAGGACAAACAAUUAAUGGAGAAGCUGAAGGCAGCCAACUUUGAUUUAAUGUUGACUGAUCCUGGAUUUGCAGGAGGAGUUGUAUUAGGGACUUACUUGGGUCUUCCUAUUGUGCUUAACGUUCGUUGGAUCACUAAUGCAGAGGGACACUUUGCAAUUGCACCUUCGCCCCUUUCUUACAUACCAACUAUCGGGUCACUGGUCACAGAUAAAAUGAGUUUUGCCAACAAACUGAAAAACUUCUUGCAUUAUGGAAUCGCUCUUUAUAUUGAUUAUGGCAUAACAAGACCCUUAUACCAGGGUGUGAUCAACAAAUUCAUCGAUCCAAACACCAACAUCUAUUCUCUCAUUCAAGGGGCUGACCUAUGGCUGAUGAGAGUGGACUUUGUGUUCGAGUUCCCACGCCCCACCAUGCCCAACGUGGUCUACAUGGGGGGCUUCCAGUGUAAGCCUUCUAAGCCUUUGCCAGCAGAGUUAGAGGCAUUUAUGCAAAGCUCGGGGGAACAUGGGGUUGUGGUCAUGUCUUUGGGGAGUCUGCUGGGUAGCCUCCUACCGGAGAUCUCAGAGGUCAUUGCCGCUGCCUUCGCCCUCCUGCCUCAGAAGGUGGUGUGGAGACACACGGGAGAGAAGCCCUCUACUCUAGGCAACAACACACUGUUGGUGAACUGGCUGCCUCAGAAUGACCUACUGGGCCAUCCCAAAACUAGAGCCUUUGUGACACAUGGGGGCACCAAUGGGAUCUAUGAGGCCAUCUACCAUGGGGUUCCCAUGUUAGGCCUUCCUCUAAUUUUUGACCAGUUUGACAACAUGCUGCGUCUACAGGCCAGGGGUGUGGCUAAGGUUCUCGAGGUGACAACCCUAAAGGUGGAACCUAUGACACAGGCACUGACAGACAUCCUGGACAACAGGAAGCACUAUAGAAACAAUAUGCGCAGGAUGUCAAAGCUCCACCAUGAUACACCUCUCAAACCAAUGGACAAUGCCAUUUUCUGGCUAGAAUUUGCUGUGAGACACAAGGGUGCAGCACACUUGCGCACUGAGUCCUACAAGAUGCCCUGGUAUGCUUACCACAAUGUGGAUGUGCUGGUACUUCUCCUGACUGUUGUAGUCUCUGUCCUGUUACUAACGCUAAUGACUUGCAAGGUUAUAGGCAGGGCUCUUUGCCGAAAGAAAAAGGAAAAAGUGCAGUAAUUUCUGAAGAAUUUGUUUUACAUUCUACAGUACAUUCAAAUUAUCUGGUGCAAUUGAAAUCCACUACAAGACAAAUGGGCAUGAAACUUUGUCAAAAUCAGACUAUAGAUGAUUAAUCAAUCACUCUUUCUUGUAAUAAAAUAAAAACAGCAAUUUAGCAAAUGUUAAAUCAAUGCAAUCUUGUCAAUGUCACAAUAUUGCUAAUACAACAUUUUAAUAGAUUUUUAAAGAACUUUAUUUUUUUUUACAGACAUUAAAAUGUACCCAUCACCUAUAACCAUGUUCAUAUUCACAUAAUACCACAAUCUCUUUCUUGGUCAACACAAAAUAAUUACAAAAUAAAAUGGUCGACAACAAUGUGAUGCAUUUUUUGCUUUUAUGUCCUAGAUUUCUGAGUGGUGGAUUUGACUAAUGUUUGUGUGGUACAGCUAAAUAUUUUAAACAGUUAAAAAAAUAAAGUGCCCAUCAGCUGUAUGGUAUUGACAAUACACAUCUCUCCAAUUUAUGAACAGUCCCAUUUGCUUGCACUACGCAAGAAAAAUGCAGCAAAAAAUUUGCAAAGCAAAUUAAAUAUAACCUAAUUAAUUAUCUACAGGUUACAAAAGUUGUCUCAAGUUUCUGGGGAUCAUGAUCAGACAUGCAAUCUAUCUUAAGUCAGAUAUUUAAAAACUAAUACAGAACCUAUAUACUGAGUGCACAAAAAAUUAGGAACACCUGCUCCAUCCAUGACAUACGGACCAGGUGAACCAAGUGAAAACUAUGAUCCCACCUGUUAAAUCCACUUCAAUCAGUGUAGAUGAAGGGGAGGAGACAGAGUAAAGAAGGAUUUUUAAGCCUUGAAAUAAUUGAGACAUAGAUUGUGUAUGUGUCAUUCAGUGUGUGAAUGGGCAAGACAAAAUAUUUAAGUGCCUUUGAAUGAGGUAUGGCAGUAGGUGCCAAGAACUGCAAUGCUGCUGGUUUUUCACACAACAGUUUUCCGUGUGUAUCAACAAUGGUCCACCACCUAAAGGACAUCCAGCCAAUUUGACACAACUGUGGGAAGCAUUGGGGUCAACAUGGGCCAGUAUUCCUGUGGAAUACUUUCGACACCUUGUAGAGUCCAUGCCAGACGAAUUGUGACUCUUCUAAGGGCAAAAGGGGGUGCAACUCAAUAAGAAAGGUGUUCCUAAUUUUUUGUGCACUGCGUACAAUAGAUACCAGUUUGCAACUUUGCUAUAUUCCAUUAGAAAAACAUAUCCCAUCGUAACAGUGGCUUUAGAGUGUGGUGUGUCCUUUUCUGACAUGUGCCCAAGGGUUGGUAUGGGAAACUCCUCAAUAACUUCAGUUGGCCGAGGGGACUUUUUUAUACAACUAUCUAAAGAUAAUUGGGUUAGCAAGAAAAGGUAGCAGUAAAACUGAUCCCAAAAUAAAAGAUGGCAUGUGUCAAAUUGCUAAACAACCCUAAUUUCUAGCAUUCUUACUUCAAACUACCAGACAGAACCUUUUAUGUACCAAGAUAAGAUUUUAGCACCAAUUAGGACUAGCUAUUUUAUUAAAUGACCAUGUAAAGGGGAAUGUCACUGAUCAUUUUAUUAACUAGAGUUAAAAUCAAGAGUGAUUUUUGAAAGCGGUUUCAUCUUCCAUAAAACAUUUAAUGGCUGCUCUGCAAAAGUGCGAAAAAUGCUCAUCUAUAACAUUAAUUUACCAACAAAUUACAAAAUGAGGGGAACUGUAUUAAAUAUUCAAAUGGAAGUCUUUGCUCAAUGUUAACUUCCUAAAGUAAGUAUCGGAGGCUCUUAACUGGGGUAGCACUUAACCAUGCUAAAUUGUGUCUGAUUGUAGGCUAUUGAACUGUGGACAAAGAUGAAUCUAUGCCAGCCAAACAUAAUAGAAUCCUUAACGCAGACAUGCCCUGAAAAUUUGGUCCAAAAUAAAUCACCAAUUAUUUUGGUCUUGAACAUUUGCACGAAACAAAAUGAGCAACUGUAGUAAAAUUUGAGAUGACUUGGAAAGCAGAUCAAAGAUAGUACUGAAUCAAUAUUGAUCAACUCAAAACGUUGUCUUUCUUUUUCUGAAAGUUUGAUUUAUGCAUUUCAUUUUCUAAAUUAGUAUUUUUUCCAUUUCAAAUUCCAAAAUAACAUGUCUAAUCCUGAUUGGUUAAUGUAAGUAAUGUCAGAGUAAAUUCCACUAGAUGGGCCAACUGCAAAGUCAAAAUUGGCUAUAUUGAAAAAUUCAUGAAAACAAAUAUUUGCUUUUUGGGUUUAAUUUAAGGUCAGGCAUUAGGGUUACCAGUGUGGUUAAGGUUAGGUUUAAAAUCAGAUCUUAUGACUUUGUGGCUAUGCCAGCUAUAGUGACCUCUGCAGAAUCGCUGUCUCCUGGUUAAAGACUCAUGACAAUAAAUGCCAACCUGCUUCUCUAUUAGAGGCGAAUAUUCAUGAUAAUUUACAUUGACAUCAAAAAAGGUAUAUUAAACAGAUGAUUGAUUUCAUGUGGAUUUAGAAGAGACAGAGAGGUUGUACCUCUCACAAAUAUAACGAUAACAAAACAAUUGCUUAAAGAAUAAAUGUAGCAUUUUUUUCAAAUUAAAUGCAAAUUUUGACAUACAAAAUCAGUAAGAAAUCUGAGCCAUGGGUGAAUACAAUUUAACAUUUUUUUAUACGGGAGAGUAGACGGGCAAUUCCACAGUACGGUAAGUGACACGAGGCAGGUUUCCAUUGACCAAGCAAUGUCACAUCAAAAGAAUGUGCCACGUGUAAUGGAAACGGCAGAUAUGAGAAUUAUUAUCCGUUCGACAUGGGUGGAUUUUUCUGUCGUCUAACUUUAUUUAUUACAACAAAUUAUGGAAACUUUUUCAAAUGAAUUAUGAUUGGCAAUUUUUUAUGUAUGCAGGCAUGUGAUACACGUAACUAUAAAAGCUCCACUCCACAUUUCAUUGUAAAUGCCUACUGCUUGCUAAAUCAAUUUUUCAAUUAAAAAAAUGUUUCUUUGCAGAACAAGGAUUGUUUUGACUUUCAAAAUUUGCCCUGCUUUUCUGGAUGCAAGUUUCACCAUCCAAUUAUUACAGAUCUACAGGAGUCACCAUGGCACGGACUGUGGCGCUACAUUGGCACGAUUAUGAUUAGAAUAUGGCAAAUAAGACAUUCCGAUUGGCACAGCGGUCUAAAGCACUGCAUCGCAGCGCAAAAGGCAUUACUACAGACAUGGGUUCAAUCCCAGGCUGUGUCGCAGGCGACCGGGAGACCCAUGAGGCGGCACACAAUUGGUCCAGCGUCGUCCAGGUUAGGCCGGCGGGAUAUCCUUGUCCCAUCGCGCUCUAGCGACUCCUUGUGCCGGGCCGGGCGCUUGCACGAUGACUGCGGUCGCCAGCUGGACUG